rnacentral:rRNA from 1 species
UACAGAGGUCCCAAGCGUUAUUCGGAUUCACUGGGCGUAAAGGGUGCGUAUGUGGUGAGGUAAGUCGGAUGUGAAAGCUCCGAGCUCAACUCGGAAAUGGCAUUGGAAACUACCUUGCUAGAGGGUUUGAGGGGGGACUGGAAUACUUGGUGUAGCAGUGAAAUGCGUAGAUAUCAAGCGGAACACCAGUGGCGAAGGCGAGUCCCUGGACAACACCUGACACUGAGGCACGAAAGCUAGGGGAGCAAACAGG